CUGCCUAGAAAAUCGCAACUUUAAAUUUUCUGUCGGUCUUAGUACACUACAGAAGAGUCAAGUUUUAAAUCGAAAAAAUAUAUAAACUCUUUGGUUAUUUUUGAGCGCGAUGCUAAUGGUCUAAUCAGAUUCAAUGGAUUUUGCUAAGCUAUGCUAAAAGUGGUAGCGCGGCUAGCGCCAGACCCGGAGAUCGGCUGAAUGGAUUCCAAAACGGUAAAAAUCUAAUGUUUAACUCUAGGGGAGCUGGAAAAUGAGCAUAUUUUCAAAAAAAGUGGAGUGUCCCUUUAAGUGUUCUGUGUGCAAUCCAAUCAUUUAUAUAGAUCAGUGGGCAUGUCGAGCAAUGCGACAAAGUUGACAAAAGUUUAACUUUAUGCAAAUAAUGAGUGACUUCCAAUGAGAGCGAAGUAAUUGAGUCAUUCUGGAGUGGACGGUUACUGGAGUGGGCGGUACUCAUUUGUUUAUGACAACCAGAUUUAGAAACGCCUCCUAACCCUUCAUUGAAAGAGACGAGUGACACACUGCAACAAAGUCGCUUGUAAUGUGUAUGGGGCAUUAGAGUGUCAAAAAUAUAGUAUAUAAUGAUGCAAAUGUUUAACUUAGUUUUAAAUAUUAUGUUUAUGAAUGCAUAUUUCUUUACCACCUGAUGAUCCAAUCCAUGAAACAAUUUCUGCAAAAUGUAAAUGUGGCACCAGUGGGAUUUCCAUACGAUAUGAUUGCAUGUGCACAUACUUGACACUUAAGUGUUGAACUGCUAACAAGUCCCAUGCUCAUUUGGACGUAUGCAUACACAUUGCCUGCCUGACUAGAUGCUCCCAGAAAGAGGGGGAAUGAAUGCAGUAGUUCUGAAAGAGCGUUUGGCUCAGUUCAAAUAGUUGCCAUGGUUUCAAGAUGUUACCAUGGAAACACAAGCUGCCAAUAAAACGAAUCUGAACGCAAUCUUUGCAAGGAGAGGGAUGGAGGGAGGAAAGGAGAAAGGUAAAGUGCGGUUAAAAGAGAAAAAGCAAAGAGAGAGAGAGAGUCAGCGCUCCUAUGGAUUGCGUCCCACAGUAAAGUGAGCAAUAAGGUGGACGUUUGGCAGGGUGGGGAUAUGUGCUCGGAGGAAAACAAACGUCCUUCUACAGGACAAACAAAGGAGAAAGAGAUGAUGACACACCAGAACGAGACGACAGGAUGUGAGAGUUGAUCAUCGGAAAAUUACGGAAAACCCAGUUUACAAGCAAAAUUAGAAAAUGAGGAUAUAUGCCGAGGGAAAACAGGGCUGGUUCUAGGAUUGGAGGCUUUGGGAGAUUUAAAAGUAUAGAGGAAUACAUCUUUAUGCAAAGUGCAGUGUUUUUUGUUAGUAUGAGGGAGCUUUGU